rnacentral:rRNA from 1 species
GACGAACGCUGGCGGCGUGCCUAAUACAUGCAAGUAGAACGCUGAAGAGAGGAGCUUGCUCUUCUUGGAUGAGUUGCGAACGGGUGAGUAACGCGUAGGUAACCUGCCUUGUAGCGGGGGAUAACUAUUGGAAACGAUAGCUAAUACCGCAUAACAAUGGAUGACACAUGUCAUUUAUUUGAAAGGGGCAAUUGCUCCACUACAAGAUGGACCUGCGUUGUAUUAGCUAGUAGGUGAGGUAACGGCUCACCUAGGCGACGAUACAUAGCCGACCUGAGAGGGUGGUCGGCCACACUGGGACUGAGACACGGCCCAGACUCCUACGGGAGGCAGCAGUAGGGAAUCUUCGGCAAUGGGGGCAACCCUGACCGAGCAACGCCGCGUGAGUGAAGAAGGUUUUCGGAUCGUAAAGCUCUGUUGUAAGUCAAGAACGAGUGUGAGAGUGGAAAGUUCACACUGUGACGGUAGCUUACCAGAAAGGGACGGCUAACUACGUGCCAGCGGCCGCGGUAAUACGUAGGUCCCGAGCGUUGUCCGGAUUUAUUGGGCCGUAAAGCGAGCGCAGGCGGUUUGAUAAGUCUGAAGUUAAAGGCUGUGGCUCAACCAUAGUUCGCUUUGGAAACUGUCAAACUUGAGUGCAGAAGGGGAGAGUGGAAUUCCAUGUGUAGCGGUGAAAUGCGUAGAUAUAUGGAGGAACACCGGUGGCGAAAGCGGCUCUCUGGUCUGUAACUGACGCUGAGGCUCGAAAGCGUGGGGAGCGAACAGGAUUAGAUACCCUGGUAGUCCACGCCGUAAACGAUGAGUGCUAGGUGUUGGAUCCUUUCCGGGAUUCAGUGCCGCAGCUAACGCAUUAAGCACUCCGCCUGGGGAGUACGACCGCAAGGUUGAAACUCAAAGGAAUUGACGGGGGCCCGCACAAGCGGUGGAGCAUGUGGUUUAAUUCGAAGCAACGCGAAGAACCUUACCAGGUCUUGACAUCCCGAUGCUAUUUCUAGAGAUAGAAAGUUACUUCGGUACAUCGGUGACAGGUGGUGCAUGGUUGUCGUCAGCUCGUGUCGUGAGAUGUUGGGUUAAGUCCCGCAACGAGCGCAACCCCUAUUGUUAGUUGCCAUCAUUCAGUUGGGCACUCUAGCGAGACUGCCGGUAAUAAACCGGAGGAAGGUGGGGAUGACGUCAAAUCAUCAUGCCCCUUAUGACCUGGGCUACACACGUGCUACAAUGGUUGGUACAACGAGUUGCGAGUCGGUGACGGCAAGCUAAUCUCUUAAAGCCAAUCUCAGUUCGGAUUGUAGGCUGCAACUCGCCUACAUGAAGUCGGAAUCGCUAGUAAUCGCGGAUCAGCACGCCGCGGUGAAUACGUUCCCGGGCCU